rnacentral:rRNA from 1 species
UACGUAGGGUGCAAGCGUUUAAUCGGAAUUACUGGGCGUAAAGCGUGCGCAGGCGGUGAUGCAAGACAGAUGUGAAAUCCCCGGGCUUAACCUGGGAACUGCAUCUUAAACUGUAGGGCUGGAGUACUGUAGAGGAUAGUGGAAUUUCCGGUGUAGCGGUGAAAUGCGUAGAGAUCGGAAGGAACACCAGUGGCGAAGGCGACUGUCUGGACAGAUACUGACGCUGAGGAGCGAAAGCGUGGGGAGCGAACAGG